rnacentral:sRNA from 1 species
CAGCACAAGUGGUCUAGUGGUAGAAUAGUACCCUGCCACGGUACAGACCCGGGUUCGAUUCCCGGCUGGUGCAUACAUGAGUUGUGAUGAUAAGCCUUACUGGUGGUUGGGUCCAUCAGAUGUGUCUGACUUCUAGUUGAAGACACUAAGGCCUCUCUGAGCUC